CGCCAGUCCAGACUCCUACGGGAGGCAGCAGUGGGGAAUUUUCCGCAAUGGGCGAAAGCCUGACGGAGCAACGCCGCGUGAGGGAGGAAGGUCUUUGGAUUGUAAACCUCUUUUCUCAAGGAAGAAGUUCUGACGGUACUUGAGGAAUCAGCCUCGGCUAACUCCGUGCCAGCAGCCGCGGUAAUACGGGGGAGGCAAGCGUUAUCCGGAAUUAUUGGGCGUAAAGCGUCCGCAGGUGGUCAGCCAAGUCUGCCGUCAAAUCAGGUUGCUAACGACCUAAAGGCGGUGGAAAC
rnacentral:rRNA from 1 species